rnacentral:rRNA from 1 species
UGGGAAUAUUGGACAAUGGGCGCAAGCCUGAUCCAGCCAUGCCGCGUGAGUGAUGAAGGCCCUAGGGUUGUAAAGCUCUUUCAACGGUGAAGAUAAUGACGGUAACCGUAGAAGAAGCCCCGGCUAACUUCGUGCCAGCAGCCGCGGUAAUACGAAGGGUGCGAGCGUUAAUCGGAAUUACUGGGCGUAAAGCGCACGUAGGCGGAUCGGAAAGUUGGGGGUGAAAUCCCGGGGGCUCAACCCCGGAACUGCCUCCAAAACUAUCGGUCUAGAGUUCGAGAGAGGUGAGUGGAAUUCCGAGUGUAGAGGUGAAAUUCGUAGAUAUUCGGAGGAACACCAGUGGCGAAGGCGGCUCACUGGCUCGAUACUGACGCUGAGGUGCGAAAGUGUGGGGAAGCAAA